GUGGUUGGUGUGGUUGACGGGACACAUAUCCGUAUUCAAGCGCCUAGCGCCAACGAAGACGAUUAUGUGAACAGAAAGGGAUUUCACUCCCUUAAUGUACAGAUGAUUUGUGAUGCCACUUUUCGGUUUGUUGACGUAGUCGCAAAGUGGCCUGGGAGCGUUCACGAUUCAAGGAUCUUUCGUGAAAGCGCCAUACGUCAGCGCUUUGAAAGAGGUGAAAUCGACGGUCUUCUGCUUGGUGACUCUGGCUAUGGAUGCAAGAUGUAUCUUAUGACACCAUAUCAAAAUACCGACAGUCCUUGUAAGGUAUAGUUAUUAAAUGGAUCUUUAAAACAAUGUAACAUAUAUUCAGAAUUAAAUUUUGUUAACCUUAGAUUAAACAAAACAAGGGCUGUUU